UACGUAGGUGGCAAGCGAUACUCGGAAUCACUAGGCGUAAAGCGCAGGUAGGCGGUUCAGUAAGUCUUUUGUGAAAACCCGCGGCUCAACUGCGGGCCUGCAGCCGAUACGGGCAGGCUAGAGUUCGGUAGGGGAGACUGGAAUUCCUGGUGUAGCGGUGAAAUGCGCAGAUAUCAGGAGGAACACCGGUGGCGAAGGCGGGUCUCUGGGCCGAUACUGACGCUGAGGAGCGAAAGCGUGGGGAGCGAACAGG
rnacentral:rRNA from 1 species